AUUGAACGCUGGCGGCAGGCCUAACACAUGCAAGUCGAGCGGAUGAAGGGAGCUUGCUCCUAGAUUCAGCGGCGGACGGGUGAGUAAUGCCUAGGAAUCUGCCUGGUAGUGGGGGAUAACGUCCGGAAACGGGCGCUAAUACCGCAUACGUCCUGAGGGAGAAAGUGGGGGAUCUUCGGACCUCACGCUAUCAGAUGAGCCUAGGUCGGAUUAGCUAGUUGGUGGGGUAAAGGCCUACCAAGGCGACGAUCCGUAACUGGUCUGAGAGGAUGAUCAGUCACACUGGAACUGAGACACGGUCCAGACUCCUACGGGAGGCAGCAGUGGGGAAUAUUGGACAAUGGGCGAAAGCCUGAUCCAGCCAUGCCGCGUGUGUGAAGAAGGUCUUCGGAUUGUAAAGCACUUUAAGUUGGGAGGAAGGGCAGUAAGUUAAUACCUUGCUGUUUUGACGUUACCAACAGAAUAAGCACCGGCUAGCUUCGUG
rnacentral:rRNA from 1 species